GAUCCUGGCUUAGGACGAACGCUGGCGGCGUGCCUAACACAUGCAAGUCGAGCGGGGACAUGCGACGGAGGAGAAGUUUCGGAUGGAUCUGAAGAUGUAUGUUCUAGCGGCGGACGGGUGAGUAACGCGUGAGCAACCUGUCCUUCACAGGGGGAUAACACAGCGAAAGUUGUACUAAUACCGCAUAAGACCACGGCGGGACAUCCCGCAGGGGUCAAAGGAGGAAUCCGGUGAAGGGUGGGCUCGCGUCCGAUUAGAUAGUUGGUGAGGUAACGGCCCACCAAGUCGACGAUCGGUAGCCGACCUGAGAGGGUGAUCGGCCACAUUGGGACUGAGACACGGCCCAAACUCCUACGGGAGGCAGCAGUGGGGAAUAUUGGGCAAUGGGGGGAAACCCCCUGACCCAGCAACGCCGCGUGAGGGAAGAAGGUUUUCGGAUCGUAAACCUCUGUCCCAGGUGAAGAGCAAGAGACGGUAACCUGGGAGGAAGCCCCGGCUAACUACGUGCCAGCAGCCGC
rnacentral:rRNA from 1 species